UAGGGGAGAAGAAGGGAGGAAGCCGUUUUGGAUCAUGACUGCUCCUUGUUCUCUCCAGACUAUUCUUAAAUAAAAAAGGUGCUAAAAUUUUAAGGCUGUUGUCACUGCCUGAAAGGAAGAAGACACAGAAUAAAAAGGCAGUGAAGAGGCCGUAUAGAUAUGAUUUUUCUUCAGAAAUGAUGUUGUUGUUCUUCUGGGCUGCAGCUGGAAGGAAGCGUUGCUCUUUUCAAACACAUAAUCUAAAUGCAUCUGGAAAAGUGAAGAUGGUUUCACCUUUGAGCUAAGAAGCAGCCUGAGUGAUAAGCACACAAAAAAGAACAAGUCAUCUCGAGGGGAGAGGAUGAGCUGUAACCAUGGCAGCUGCAUGUUGGACCUUUCCCAGUAAGGGCUCGUGGCCACAAACCAGCAGGUCGGAGCCAGCACCUGAAAUUUGUGUGCUUCGUCUGCCAGUGCCUGUCAUCUCACCUGGCUGUCGCUCACAUCUCAAUACAGACAUCUCGUUGAAUUGUAGCCACUUGGGGAUAUCGACAUUAAUUUUCUUUGUAUCUAUGUACUGGCAUUUAUAUUUAUGCAUUAACAUCAUGUGCCACUGGCAUAUCUACAUUUGUUCUCUGAGAGCAUUUGCAAAUAGAUGUUCAAUUACCACCUUUCCUUUCCUCAGCAUUCAAAAUCGGGUUUAUUUUCAAAAACGGUCCUGAGGAUGUCUUUUGUGUAAUCCUGCUCUCCUGCAGCUGGGGCAGCCAGUCCCUGGAAACGGGCUGGCUAGUGAGUUUGAGGCUCCGUAUGAGAACAGCCUGCCUAAAACAAUAGACAUAUGACGUGGAUUAAUACAAAAUAUUAUCUCCCAUUUUCUGUAUUAUCAAAAUCAAAAGUACAGGCAAACUGAAAAUUUAUCAUAUUUUAAAUUUUAGCUAUUGAGUAUUCAUUUUCUCUUUUGCACAAAAUAAGACGUACAUACGUGUCUAGAUUCGCAAAGUUAACUUACUUCUCUGGCUAUAGUUAUUGCCACAUAAUGUUUAGGGUAGCUGCUAAUUAACUAAUAUUUCAGCUAUAGUUGUUCA